CGGCUCUUUGUCUGCUCGGGCAACUUGAACAAAAGGAGAAACUCGGGUGAACUCCGCAUCUCUCCCGGAUUAGCUCAUCUUCGGCAACUUUAUCUGGAGAGAUCGAGGCAACUUUCUCCCAUCUCUCCUGCCUCUUCAAAGCGCUCGGCCCCGCUGUAGGCUCGUGAGGAAACUGGGGUUCGCGGUGUAAAGAAAGCAGAAGGUGAAAACAUGGCCGUCAGGAGAAUGGAAUCCUUCCAAAAUGUUGAUCUGUGCCAAGUGCCAUACUGCAUUAUCCUUCCAGUGGUGGAAUACAACUUGGGUCUCCUCAGGAGGUGACUGAUGUGGAACAAGCUGUACCACGCAGCCAUGGUGUGAAGACCUGAUGUCUUCACUGUUUGGAUACGUCUGUAAGUUAACGGACUACUGGGAGAAGAUGAAGAGGCUUUUGCAGAAAUCUGAGGAUAUUGUGGGAAAUGUUGCUGCAAACCAUUUGGAUUAUAUUGCUGUCUGACAUGGAGGUUCUGCAGAUGACGUAAGGGGCCUGCUUUGUGACCUGGGGUAUGAUCUAUGUCUGCUACUGAAGACAUCUUGAAUGGUAUGAGUAAUGGCUCUCGACAUGUGCAGAGGAGCAGCACAGCACCUGGCUCUCGAUACAGCCCUCAGAUGAAGGAGGCAAAAUAGCACUUCAGGCACUGUAAAGAGGAUCUGCUUCUUUGAUGUGGACAUUGCGGAGUUUAACUGGCAGAAGGCAGUGUCUUUACAUUGCUCCAUGAUGUAGAUGGAUCACUCUUUGCCAGCUGCCAAAUCAAAUAUUUCUGAACAGUCCCUGCCUUUGGCAACGUCCUCAGUGUUGUGGUGAUGGAUCCCUUGAAAGGACACCGCAGAACAGGCUUCAUGCUGCCCCUGUACUUCAAGCUCUCUGCUCUGCACGAAGCUGCACUGUUCAGAAGAAGCAAGAUUCUUUCCUCACAGCUACGGCACUGCGACACAGCCUGCUUUUUCGCAUCUACCUGGGUGGCUGCUGCUGGUUCUGCUACUGCUGCAGCCUCGCUGCCUGCGCUUCACCCCAGCUUGGCUGAUGCGAGUCUCCCUCGUCUGCACAUCGCUAAGGAAGAGAAGCGAUGGAGCCACAGUUUUUCUGUUGGUUCUGGAAGCAAAGGGUUGUGAUGUGGGGUGGCUUGGGGGUUUUCUUUUUUUGGUGGGGGGAGAAAGGAGGGAUGUUAAUCUAGGGUGGAGUGGGUAAAAGCCUAAAGAAAUAUGAUGAAAAGUAAUCCAGUGCUCAACAAGGGCAUCAGCAGCAAGAAUCCAGCCUCUGCUGUUCCAGAGGAUUAAGAUGGGGAAAGCCACAGAGCUGCAGUCGGGUUGCACCUCAGCGUUGUGCUGGAGAUGGAUAAACAAGGUAUUGGUCGUAUCUGCCUGCUAAGGCAAAGCCACGGGAGGAAGAGCGAGUGAGAGAGUGCGUGCAAAUGCAGUGGAAGAAGAAACGCUGCGUGCUGUUUGUCUGAUUCUGUGCAUUCUCAAUGUGGAGAGGAUGGCAUGAUUAAGAAAGCAAUGUGUGGACAGAGGCACUGUAAAUUGUAGCUCGAACACUCCUGAUGCUGUCAGGGAGGGAACUGAUGAGCUAGGUGGCUGCAGCAAUAUCCCCAGGGAAAACAGCCGCCAUGCUGUGUAUGUAUGUGCUUAUGUAUGUGUGUGUGCUUUUGCGUGUGGGAGCAUGUACAGGCAUGAAAGAAAGACAUUUCUGAGCAAUUUACAGAGGAAGCUUGUCACUUUGAUGGUCAGACUUGAUUGCAGCUUGUAUUUUUAGCUCUAGCUCUACACCCAAUUCCUGAGUGAGGCGGCACUUUGUGAAUGCAGAUGUAGGCAGAAUUCUUCUAAGAAAUGUGAAAGCAGAUCCUUUCCAUUUAACACCUUGGAGCACUGAAUCUUCUGCACUGUGUUGAGAGAAGCUAAGGGGGGGGGUCGUUUUCUCCAUCCUAAAAUCUUUACAAACACGGCUAUAUUCAGUAUGGCAAAAAAUUCUAUGCUGUAAAUAGAAAUGUGAUCAAUCUAAUCAAAAUAAAUGCAUCCCAGAUGCAUCUAGAUGAUCCCUAGACCAGCUGGCUACCACAGUCAUCAGAUGGCUAAAUGCUCAACUGAGCUUUUAUAGUCAGCAUUAUAUUUCUGGGUUUUUUUAGAAUUUUAAAAUCAGCCUCUAAUUAAAAAUGAUUCUUCCUCUAUUGAAAAGAGACAGCAUUUGGCAGUAGAUUUUUCUGAAAUGUACCUGUUUUUUGUGGUGUGGUUUUUUUUUUGUUACUGUCAUUUGAUUGGUUUGGGUUCUUUUUGUUUAUCUGUUCAGUUUAUAUUUCUGCGCUUGCAUUGGGGAGACUGUGUUUUUAGAACAGGGAGACUUGUCACAGUGCUGGCAUACUGAGUUCAGCUGGCAGAUCGGGUUGCCCGUAUCUGAACAGUGCAAAAAUAGGAAAAACAAGUACUGCAGUCAGCUAGUGGGGCUUGGCAUGGCUUUUAGCAGCUGCCUACUGAGAAAGAGGUUUCUUUUUUCCUUUUUUCCCCUUUUAUACAAAUCUGUAGACCAUAAUGCUGUCCUAAAAUGCGUAUGAGGGGAUUUCCCAAUAGUCAUGGUGAGCUACUCUGCAAGAUGCCUGUCUGGCCCUUCCAGUGUUUGUUACCCUGUCUACAAAGGCUGCCCUGUGUGUUGGAUUAUAUUUAGCCAGCUGUUGGGUAACAUUCUUGUGCUGGGGGCAAAGGAGUCUUAUUACUCCCAUACUGUAGUUUUGUGUUUUCUUAAAGAAAAAUAACCUCAGCAAUACAGCAGGCUCUGUAUACCAUUCCUGCACCUUUCUGAAACUGCUGUGGUUCUAACUCAGGCAGUUUUAAAGCAAGUGAGCAGGAGGAAGAGUGGCUCUUAGCUCAUAGCUUCAAAACUGCAAAAUGUCAGCAGCUUGUAAUUAGGAGCCCGUGGUUACGUCAGGGACUGUAUCUCUCCAAGAAUAGCUGUGUGAUGUGUGCCACAAAGCAAAAGAAGGCAGUCAUAACCUGGUUCUCGAGCCUGCUUUGAACAAGAGAGCAAAAUGGAUUAAUGAAUCGGCUGCAUUUGUAAAUGAGAGCUGGAUGGAUUACGUGUAUGAGACUGGCUGCGCCCUGCAAAAGCGACGACUGAAUUAUCGGUUUGUCAGAGGGCACACAUUCACCGAGUGGAAGUGUGAAUCCUUCGGAAGAAAUGCAGACAAGCCAUCUGUCCUAGAAAAUGUCAUUCCCGGCUCCAUCUUGCACAGGCAGCUGCGUGCCAUGAGGCAUGGGAGGGAGCGACCGGCCAGCCGCACUGAGGUGUUUAAAAGCACACCUAAAAUUAAACACAAAGCGAGCACACCAAAACUCAGCUCUGGCGCUGCAGAUUUGAUGCUGAAAUACCACCCCUGUGCAGAUCUGCUGCGCUCAGGUGUGGUUCAUAUUAAGGCUUCUCUAGCUCAGGGAGGGUGCAAAAAAGGCUUAGCACAACAUCUUGCAGCCAAACGUGGUCCUAGGGCUGCACUGGGAAUGCUGCAGCACGGGGCUGCCUACCCCGCAGGGACAUGCCUGGAGCUUUCUGACCCCUGCUAUUGUUUUUUCGGUCUGGGCUGGCGGCUCCGCAGCACUGAAGCGGCGAGAUUGCAGGGGUGCUCACCCUGCUCCGACCAGCCUUUCCCCAUGCUGUGGCUGGAGAUGUUUACACGGCUUUUAUUGACAGCCCUUCACCAGUCAGUGGUGCAUUGCUGCCUGUUUUUGGCAGCCUGGCGUGGUUCCCUGGUCCCAGCACAAGUCAGCUGCAGCUCUACUCUUUGUGCCGCUCUUUAAUUUACCAGGAUAGGUAGAUUGUAUUAUGCAAACAGUGGUUGCGGGUUCUGUUUUUUUUGUUUUUCUUCUGACUGUGAACCCAAAUUUGUAGGAGGAGAUGACUCUGUAUAUUAAACCAAUAGCUCUUUGAAUUGUGUGUAGUAUAAUUUAAAUAUACUUACUUUAAUUAGUCGGAGCUUACAAAAGCCGGCAUUGUCUGGGGCUGUUUAAUUUACAUCGCGGCCUCUGUCAAUGAGCACAACCUGCCUGAACAGAAUGGCGUAUUCUGCGCAGCCGGCAGGGUGGAAGGCGUUACUUUGUUUGUGUUCCUUCCAACAGCUGGUCAUUAAUGCAGGCCCCAUCUCCAGAGUGAAGUGCUGGUGGACAUGAAUGGCCGCCUGAUUAAUGCUGCCCCUCGACGGCUCCUUCCUCCAGCAGCGAUGCUCGCAGCAGAAUAAUGCAGCGUGAUUUGAUUGUGCUCUAACAGGGCAGUAUGUCAUUGUGUCACCAAGCAAUUGAGGUUAUUAUGGGGCAGGGCAGACAGACGGGACAGUGGGGUUACUAGACCGUGGCAUUUUUAGAAAUGCAGGCCUGACCUACUUAGAGUUAUUCUUGCUGGCUGGCAGCUGCAUGGUGCAUAGCUUGUCCUGAUAGGCUGAGGCUGUUGCUAGGGGGAAUUAGCAUGAAUUUUUCCACAUACAGACUCAGUGAUUGAAUGAUAAAAGCUGACUGGAAUUAAAGAGAUUCGGUUCAGUAUUAUGCAGAUUUAUCUCCCUUGUUUUUUCCCUCUCUCAAAUGCAUAAAAAGGAGCAGGAGACAGUUUGUUUCCAUUCAUUUUUGACCUAUUUUUUUUCCAGAGGAGGGCAGAAGCACUGUGAAUUUUUGAUCAUUUACUAUUUAAGUUGUUGAAAUGAUAUGACAGUGGGUAUGCAUCUUUUAUGUAUAGGAGAUUCAAAUUCCUUCUCUGCAGAAGGGAAUGAAAUGAAUAUAGUUUGUACUCUGGUCAGACAGCUGCCUUUUUUUUUUUUUUUUUUUUUGAAGCUGUGUCAGAUUAUCUCAUCUGGAAAGGGGAAACGUACACCAGGUUUUAUUGCAUAACAUCACUCUUGGCUAUUUUUAGCUAUCUGCACUUCACAAAAUUAGUCCUGUGUUUAUGCUGCUGGAUGAAAUGAAUCCCCAGACUGUGCCUCCUGUACGCAGAGACAGACACCCAGGAUGUGCUGUAGUGUGCCGUGUUCAUCUGAAAAGAUGCGCACACACUGCAGACAUAGCAGCACUGCCUGCUGGCAGAAAGCUGACGACUGGCCUUUAAGCUAAUUGAUUAGAUAACCUCUUGUGCAUUUUGGAGUAUUUUUCCAGCUUCGGUUUGAAGUUGGAUUCUCUUGAUAGCCCUUUUUUGUUUAUCUACGUCUGCUUAAAAUAGCCAUGUUUUUAUCAGAGAUUUCUAUGCUCCCUCUGGAAGCAAAUAAAAACAAUACUCAGUGAAGACUUCUUUGAUGUAAUUAUGAAUAUUUCCUUUGUUAUUAUCACUAAUUAUAAAAUAUCUUCAUUUAAACUGCAGUACACCCUGUGUGAUCCUUUACCAUGCAAAGGAGUUACAAUUUACUGCUUAUGAUUUUAAAACGGUUUUCAUGGCAACACCUCCUGACAUCACACUCGAAGAAUUGUGACUUUUCAGUAGCUGGGAAUGGGGGAGAGGGACUCUGAAGUCUUUGUAUUUGCCAAAUGAGUGUGUGACUCAUUGCUGAAAAGUGUGAGCUCAUUCAAGUUUCAUGUGAAAUACCUGGAUGGAUGAGACACUUCUCAGAGCAGUGUCUGUCUGGAUGGCCAGGAUUACCCCUGGAGUUUCCUGGCCUCCUGCCUCAGCCCCUGAAGUUUCUCUGGAGGGUUUGAAGAUGAGGCAGUUAAACAUGGAGACAUACAUCUGAAUGCAUUUUGUGGCCUAGGCAAAAGCAUUUAAUUUGUACAGAUUUGAAUUUCCCGCCUCUUUUCCUGUUUGUCAUUUACUACUGAAGCACAUAGCUCUUCCCAGUCUGUUUCUUUCUGACAGCUUCGUGGAUAGGCAGACUAGUAGAGGCAUGAAAGUGAAGAGAGGCAUUAUUGGAAACCCAGUAGUUGCUCCUCCUGGCUGUGUUCUUCCCCAUCUGUCCAGAUUUAACUCCAGAAAGUGUAACUGUGAUGCAGGUCCCACUUCCCACAGCAGGAACCAUUCCUCCCAGUAUUCUCUUGAUCAAAGCCCUCUCUCUUGAUCUGCUUUCUUGUGGGAUGCUGUCAGUGGCUGUGGCUUCCCAUCUGGGCUACAAUUUUAAAUUUGGCAUGUCUUCCAAACUUCCCUCGAUGCUGUGUUUUCUGCUGUUUCCCCUCGUGCUCCCACUUGCUUUCCCUGUGAUAAACCUGUUCGAGUGAUGAGAGAGAAGGAUCAGGUUACGGAGAGGUUUGCUUUUGGGAGGGUAGGAAACUGCCAGGCUUUGUGUGCAAUUGUCUCUUGAAGUUCUCACCCUCACUGGAUGUAACCAGUCAUAGUUUCAUCCAGUUGACUUGGAACAUCAGCUAACUUGGACUUCAGCAAAUCAAAACUGCCACGCAAUAUUACAUUCAUUUCAGCGGAAACUUCUUUUUUAGAAAAAUGAGUUGAGUCUCAUCUUAUUUUGGCAUAUUCAUGCUAAGAAAGAGCCCAAAGGAAGGCAAGAAACAAUAUUAAGCAUGUACUAUGUGGAAAAGAAUUAUAUCCCUGAUGUUUUUUGGGGGAUUUCAGCACACUGAACAUUUAUAACAAACAUCAAGUCAGUCAGUUUUAACUGUCAAGUGGCAUAUUAAAUAUGAAAAAUGCAGUGCACCAGAAAUUGUACUCAACAUUAGAUUACUAUUCUACAAGCCUCCUUAAUGGAGAUUAUUCCAAAUAAAUUAAUGUGUGAAUAGUCUGAUCAUAAUGCCUGGGAUAAUUAGAAGUAGCAGAAAUGUGGAGUUAAUGAAACAGAAACAAAAUCUAGCUCUUUCUAUGUAUGUGUUUAUAAAGCAUAAGAAUGAGGGCACCAGAGGAGUUUGAAAUAUAUGUCUGUUGAAAAUACAGUCAAUUGUGUACAUUCCUUUGAAAAACAUGUUAAGAAUUUUCUGAUUGUUUCCUCUGAGGUUUCUAUUGUUGUAACAACUCACACCUCCCACCCAGAAGCUGCUUACCUACGAAAGAUUGUGUUGCAUUGUUCGACAUUCUUGUACCAUGACCUCUCCUGUGAGCUGUGAAAGAUCUAUUGUGCUGUGUUUCAUGCUCUAGGGUGGCUAAGCGACUGCUGAUUUACUAGUAGCACAUGCAGACAAUAAUUUUUUCUUCCAAGGAAGGAUCCUAAAUCCUGCCACUAUUUGAGUUGGCUCUGGUGGUCAGUGUAUUCCUCACCCAGGAGUCUUGGCUGGUUGUGCACUUUGUGCAUUUUGUGAUGUCAUUGCAGCUUUCUGGUUUUCUGGAAAGGAGCAGAGGAUGCAGGAUAUAGAACGGCAUAUCUAGAUUCCCAUGAAGGGAUAAUGGCCACAAGGAGUGAGCUCACUCCCAGCCUUCACCUCCUGCCAGGACCAUAAAGAUCAGUUUUUCUGCAGCAAAUUUGUUUUGGUUCCAAUUUCAAACCUGAAGUAGGAGGAAGUGUAUUAUAUUUCUUAAAAAGUGGCAAUUGGCACAUUCCUUCUAUUGCAAUACAGGAGGGAAUACAAAUGUUUUACAAAUUAAAAUAAUCCUUAAAAGAUUUUUUUUUCCUGUGACUCACAAAGAUGGAAACAAAUUCUGUAACAUUACCUUCAGCCAGGAGCAGCACUGUUGUGGCUCCCACAUUCAUGUUUUUCCUGCGUGUAUGCACCUGUAUACUCAGAAAUACUGUAUACAUAUCAUGUGAAUGUGUGUAUAAAAGACACAAAUGCAAUACUGAAGCAUACAUUAUAGUAUAUAAUCACAGUUGCCUCAGAAUAAUACCAGAACUGUGCCUCCAGGUGGUUGGUGCUGUCUUGUUUAUGGUGAAAGCAGCUUGUCAUAAAAUUCAUGCCAUUUCAACACAGAGCAUAACUAUCACAUUAAUCCUGUCAUCCCAUUCACCACCAUCACCAACAAAUGAUGCUGUGUAAUACAAAGAUGCCAAAAAGGGGCAUUAUGGUGAAAAUUAGUGUAUAACUAGAUAGAUGGAUUUCAUAACCACUUGUCACUUUUUGUAGUCACGAGUGAUGUAAAAUGAAAUGCUUGAUGGCUGUUUAAGACACAGAGACAAUUUUUUUCUUAUUGUUAAUUCUUCCCACCUGCCCUUAGGCCACGCCUGUUUCAAAAGAGAAUCCAGACUUAAAUCUUGACAGAAAUCAUGACCCUAGUGCAACCAGUGGCUGUUUUAUCCUGGCGGUCAGCGGGGCCAGGUAUCUCAUCUUGGUAUUUUCAACUGAACGUGUCUUUUUCUCACUCCAAAGUGUAGUAUUUCUAUUAUUAAGUUUUCUUUCCUCUUUUCCUCUGAACAUUCUUUGAUCACUUAAAUGUUUAAGCAAUGUACCAUAAAUUUGCCCUUGAGUAUGGGAAAAUGCGAGGAAGUAACACUUCCCUACUGAGCAGAUAAGGUUGAGUUGGGGUUAGUCUCCAUAGCUUUGUGCUUUCACAUAUUUCUAUUUUCAUCAUGAAAUAUCUGUUUUGAUGGAAUGAAAGAGCAAGUGAAACAAACAAACAAAAGAAACAGAAAAAAAAAAAAGAAUGAAUCCAGGCUGUAACAGUCUGCAGAAACUCAAGGAAUAAGGUGGUUAUGUCUUGACCUACAAAGAUAGGGUCCAGAAAUGCAGAGGCAGACAAAAAAGCAAUCUUUAAAAGGAAAUGCUUUCUAGCUCUGUAGUGACUUAUUCUGUUAUCAUCACUGAAGUUAACAAUGGAUUCCUUCCUUUAUUUUUUUUUAACUUUGAUUUUACGUAAAUACAAUGCUCACAUCCACAUCCAACAAAAAUAUUAAUUUGGUUGUAGGUAUGCCACAGUUGUGUCUAGAGUUUGCUGUGUUUUUGUUACAAGCCUGACAGACAUGGUAAUUAGGCCUUUCUGAGGUAAAAAAUGUUUGAAUACCUCAAAGUUGGAACCAUUUGAAAAAAUGGCAGCUAGUAGAUGACUGUUGGUGAUAGAUUUUGUCCUAUGUUUUUCUACUCAGAGAUCCCAGGCUGAACAGAGGAGGAGACGCUGUGCUGCAAACUUAGUUUGAUGCUGGUUGAAACAUCGCUGAUGAAUCUUCGUAAUAAUCUCCUGUUCAUGACCUCUAAUAAUAACAGUAUAUUAUGGAUCUCGUUAACAGUUCCUGCAUGCAUGCACAAGAAUAUAUAUACACCAUUUUAGCUGAACUGAAUUGUUAGUGAAGUCAUCUCCAGCAGUGCUAUGCUUUUCAUAUUACUGCUUUGAAGCUCAAACCUACAGUUGUUUGUAACUCACUGGUGAGACCACAAGUUCAUUGUUUCUCUAAUGACUGGUAAAAUUGUGUCCCUUUCCCUCAGCUUUUGCUUAACUCCAUUCAUGUGAGCUUGAUGUACUCAUCCUUUUUGUGGGGGAGCAGAAAUCUUGGUGCACAUCAGUGCCUUAUUUGCUCCAUUACAGUCAGUUCCUCUUGUUUGGAUCAAGUGUUUUCUAUUAACAGCCAGUGAAUAGCAUACUUGUCUUGCAGUUAGACUUGUCGUGGAGUUCUUGGCAUUACACUCACUAUUCCUAAUAUUUUUGUGGUACUGAGGAGACACUUGCAAAUAUCAAAUAAAUAAGUAGCCUCCA